rnacentral:rRNA from 1 species
AACGCUGGCGGCGUGCCUAACACAUGCAAGUCGAGCGAGGAAUGUCGGAUAGCUUGCUAUUUGAUAUUUCUAGCGGCGGACGGGUGAGUAACGCGUGAGCAACCUGCCUUUAUCAGGGGGAUAACGCAUCGAAAGAUGUGCUAAUACCGCGUAAGACCACAGCCUCACAUGGGGCAGGGGGUCAAAGGAGCAAUCCGGAUAAAGAUGGGCUCGCGUCCGAUUAGCUAGUUGGUGAGAUAACAGCCCACCAAGGCGACGAUCGGUAGCCGACCUGAGAGGGUGAUCGGCCACAUUGGAACUGAGAGACGGUCCAGACUCCUACGGGAGGCAGCAGUGGGGAAUAUUGGGCAAUGGGCGAAAGCCUGACCCAGCAACGCCGCGUGAGGGAAGAAGGGUUUCGGCUCGUAAACCUCUGUCCUAUGGGACGAAGGAAGUGACGGUACCAUAGGAGGAAGCCCCGGCUAACUACGUG